GUGCAAAGGUAGCAUAAUCAUUAGGGGUUUAAUUGAAAUCUAGUAUGAAGGGUUGGACAAAGGAAAAACUGUCUUUGUGAUAUAAAUUGAAAUUUACUUUUAAGUGAAAAGGCUUAAAUAAAUCAAAGGGACGAUAAGACCCUGUGAAGCUUUAUAAAUAAUUUAAAUUUAAUUAAUUUGAGCGAUAAAAAUUAAUUUUAAUUAUUUUAUUUUGUUGGGGUGAUAUGAGUAUAAAUACUGUUAACUGCUUAUAUAAAAUACUGAUAUAACAGAAUUUUAAAUUAAUGAUCCUUUUUAAAGAUUAAAAGACUAAGUUACUCUAGGGAUAACAGCGUUAUUUCUUUUGAGAGUUCAUAUCGAAAAAGGAGAUUGCGACCUCGAUGUUGAAUUAAAAUAUCUAUAUAAUGCAGCCGUUAUAAAAGAGGGUCUGUUCGACCUUUAAAUUUUUACAUGAUUUGAGUUCAAACCGGA
rnacentral:rRNA from 1 species